CACAUCCAAGGAAGGCAGCAGGCACGCAAAUUACCCAAUCCCAGCUCUGGGAGGUAGUGACGAAAAAUAACAAUGCGGGACUCUUCCGAGUCUGCGUAAUUGGAAUGAGCACACUUUAAAUCCUUUAGCAACAACCAAUUGGAGGGCAAGUCUGGUGCCAGCAGCCGCGGUAAUUCCAGCUCCAAUAGCGUAUAUUAAAGUUGUUGCGGUUAAAAAGCUCGUAGUUCGAUUUGAGUUGCGGACUGGUGUGGGAGGUCACCGCCCGGUGCUUGCCCGCCAGGUUCCGAACAGCUUCCGUGAGUGGAAGCCAAGCCGGUUCUGCCGGGGUGCUCUUUACCGAGUGUCCCGCGCGGCCGGCCAGUUCACCUUGAAUAAAUGAGAGUGCUCAAAGCAGGCUACUCUGGAAUACAAUGCCCGAAUGUUAGCUGCAUGGAAUGAUGGAAGAUGAUCUCGGUUGCAUUUUGUUGGUGGUGGCAGCCAGAGGUAAUGAUAAAGAGGGACUGUCGGGGGCAUCCGUACUACGACGCGAGAGGUGAAAUUCAGUGACCGUCGUAGGACGAACAACAGCGAAAGCAUUUGCCAAGAAUGUCUUCGUUGAUCAAGAACGAAAGUUAGAGGAUCGAAGGCGAUCAGAUACCGCCCUAGUUCUAACCCUAAACGAUGCUGACUAGCAAUUCGCCGUCGUUAUUCCCAUGACGUGGCGAGACGCCCCCGGGAAACCUCAAGUCUUUGAGUUCCGGGGGUAGUAUGGUUGCAAAAGUGAAACUUAAAGGAAUUGACGGAAGGGCACCACCAGGAGUGGAGCCUGCGGCUUAAUUUGACUCAACACGGGGAAGCUCACCAGGCCCGGACACCAGAAGGAUUGACAGAUUAAGAGCUCUUUCUCGAUUUGGUGGGUGGUGGUGCAUGGCCGUUCUUAGUUGGUGGAGUGAUUUGUCUGGUUA
rnacentral:rRNA from 1 species